CCGUGUUUUAACUGCAAUUUAACACCCUGUUGGAUUCAAUUAUGUGCGUGGUAACAUAAAAUUUGUAAUAUGUUCUAGCUUUCUAGGUCGUAAUCUAUCUUCAAUGGUAUAAACUACUUGUCAUUACGUAAUGACUUAACUGCUUUUUGCAGUUGAAUCUCUUGUGACUCCUGCUACUUGUCACACGCCUCCAGUCUAUUUAUUCCAACUUCUUUUGUUGCUCUCCAUCUUAUCAGUUUUUGUUGUAGCCUGCGUUUCCUUUUCGUCAUAGUUGAGCCUGCAAUAACUUGACUGUUUUGGGAAGCUGGUGCUCUUGUGACUCCUGGUCCUGGAACUUUAGUUGUCCACACGCCUCUAGUAUAUUUAUCCCCACUUCCUUUGUGGCAAUCCAUCUUUAACCGUUUUUGUUUCAUCCUGUAUAACCUUUUCCAAUCAUCGGUCAGUUCAUAACAGCACGAUGGCUGCAAAUGAUGUGCCGUGCUGUGAGACCAUGUUCUGGGUGUAUCUACUCAUUUGUGCGGCCCUGGUAGCUUUUGCUGGUCUCAUGUCAGGCCUUACCCUGGGACUCAUGUCCCUCAGCCUUGUUGAUCUUGAGAUCCUCGUCAAGGCUGGCCAGCCUCAAGACAGGAAGAAUGCCGAGAAAAUUCUACCCAUCGUUAAGAAUCAACACCGGCUCCUAUGUACCCUCCUCAUAUGCAAUUCCUUGGCCAUGGAGGCUCUGCCCAUUUUCGUAGAUGCGCUUCUACCAGCUUGGGGUGCUAUAUUGAUAUCAGUAACCCUCAUACUGGCAUUUGGCGAGAUUAUCCCUCAGGCUUUGUGUUCUAAGUAUGGACUCAGUGUCGGCGCAAAACUAUCACCAUUAGUCCGGCUGCUUGUCAUUGUUGUAUUCCCUCUAUCGUACCCAAUUAGUAAGCUGUUGGAUUUGCUCCUUGGAAAGGGGCAUUCUGCACUUCUGCGACGGGCAGAACUCAAGACACUGGUAGAUAUGCAUGGGCACGAGUCAGGCAAAGGUGGAGAGCUGACUCGCGAGGAAACCACCAUUAUCUGUGGAGCUUUAGAUUUAACACAGAAGACGGCUAAGGAUGCUAUGACACCCAUCGCGGAAAUAUUUUCCCUCGAUCUAAACUCUGUACUGGAUGACGAUACGAUGAACUUGAUACUCAAAAAGGGACAUAGUCGGGUGCCUGUACAUUCAGGAAGCACGUCAAAUAUUAUAGGUCUUAUUUUGGUAAAGAAUUUAAUCAAAUGUCGUCCUGAAGAUGAAACAUCAAUUAGGAAUCUUACUAUCAUCAGGAGAAUUCCCUGGAUCCUCGAUAGUGUUCCACUAUAUGAAAUGCUCAAUCAAUUUCGGAAGGGGCAAAGUCACAUGGCUGUUGUUGUUAAGAGUAAGUAUAAUACAAAUGAUUCUGCAGAAAUAUCAACAACAAAAAAUGAUAGGUUCAAGACAAACAUCAACUCUACUUCUUGGAUACAAAAACGAGCUGAUGAAAAUGUAGGAAUUCAGAAUAUUAGCAGAUACGCGUCCUCUGUGACUUCUAGUGACAUUGAGAGUCAAAGUCUGACAACUUUAACAUCAAAAGUUUGGGAAACUCUUCACUCAAAUCAAGAGGAAGAAGUCAUUGGUAUCAUCACCAUGGAAGAUGUCUUGGAGGAACUAUUACAGGAAGAGAUAUUGGAUGAAACUGAUGGUUAUGUUGAUGUUCACGAGAAAAAACACCACAUGAGAUGCUCAAGAUCUCCCAAAACACCACAUGAGAUGCCCUGGCGAACUCCCUUGGCAUCUCCGCUUUCUUCAAGUCAUCAGACACCAGUUCCUUCUUAUCGUCAUACUCCUUUAUUGCGUUCACCUAUUUCCCCAUAUAUUCAAUCACCAUUUAUAAGGCCAACUCUCUCUGCAUCCCCUGCAAAACCUAUGCCAAGUUCUCCACCUGGAACAAAUGGAUCUCCCUUUCACACUUCUCCAUCCUCACACAAGGUCUCAAGGAAAUCAUACGAAAAGUUGGGAAAACACACUGUUUCAUAGAUAGCUUAUAUUUCAAUGGCCUCCUUUGUAAUUUCUCACUUUUUUCUUUCUUUGUAAAUACUCUUAAUAAAGGACUGCACUAUUGGUACUUCCUUUCAACCAUCCUUCUAUAUAAUCUCAUUGUGUUGAAGAAAUUAAUAGGAUACAAGUGAUUAAUUAGUGAAUGGAGUUUUUGAUCAAACACAAAUAUGGGAGAUAGUUAAAACCCAUAAAAUUUUGAUAUUGAGGACGAGAAAAUAGAAAUGACAAAGUCAAAUGUACCUUGAAUCAAAGUGAUAGAAUAACUUUGUUUUGAGGUUUUUGAUCAAUUUAAGCUUUUACAUUCCAACCAUUUUUUGACUGACUAAGGCUAACUGGAGGAAGUCUACCAUAUGAACACUUAGAGAGAAAGGAAUUGGGUCACCAGUAUGCAUAUUAUGCAAGCAUGCUUUUUCUAAAUAAAUAAAUAGUUAUAUAUGUUGACUUAAGUUUGCAUUAAGAUAGUCUAAGGCCUAUUAUGUUACAGAUAAGUAUACGAGCAAAUGGUAGCUUCAAGUCGUUAGUGUGACAGUUAGUCUCAACGACAACUAACUGUAACUAACUUGCUUUAUUUCUCUAUAAAUCCGCCUCUAUGUAUUAUAAAUAGAAGGUUGGUAUUCAUUCAAAGUAGAGUAACAUUUUUUAGCUAGUGCUGAGAGAAAAGACAAGACGAGAUAGUUUUUUGUAAUCCUGGAGUGAUUGCGUUAUUGAACUGUUGUACUUAUUGUUUCAAGAUAGUAAAAUCUUGCUCUCAGUUUAAGGUUGGACGUAGGAUCAUUAGAAUUUGAUGAUCUAAGCCAGGAUAAAAUUCAUGCCUUGUGUGAUCUGUUCUUAUUGUUCUGUUCAUGUGUUUAUUCAGUUUGUGUGUGUGAUUGUGAGUGUAUCCUAUCCGAGUGUCUUCGUAUCCAACAACGUGGUAUUAGAGCCCAGGUUAAAUAGCAAGAAAAUAAGAACCGACAUCAAGGGUCAUAAUCAGAAGUCCUGGUCCGUGGAAAUGGCAUCAACAUCAUCCACAACAAAGUAUGAUAUUGAAAAGUUUGUUGGUCAGAAUGAUUUUGUGUUAUGGAAAAUGAAGAUGCGGGCUUUGCUUGGAAAUCUUGGACUGGAGGAGGCACUCGAAUGGGAGGCCAAGAUGCUUGCAGUCUAUACUACAUAAAAGAAGAAAGAAAUAAUCAAGAAUGCCUAUAACACCAUGAUCUUAAGUCUAUGAGAUAAAGUUCUGAGAGGUGUCAAAGAUGAAGACAACAAUAAAAAUUUGGCUUAAAUUGGAAAGCCUACACAUGACUAAAUCCCUCUCAAGCAGGUUGUAUUUGAAGUCAAAUUCUUUACAUUCAAAAUGAAUGACGGACAAAAAUUGUAGGAGCAUAUCGAUGAGUUCAAUAAGCUGUCUGACCCUUGAAAACAUUGAGGUAAAGUACGAAGAUGAGGACAAAGCCCUGGUACUACUUCAUUCUUUACCAAGAUCUUAUGAAACUUUCGCUUGGAUGCAUUAUUACUGCCAGUGAAACACUUCCGAACCGUUUCCGAAAUGGCCCAUUUCGGAAUUAUUUAUACCUAUUUUUUUUUAAAUAUAUAUAUAUAUAUAUUUUUUUUAUUUUCAUUUCAAUUACUGGUACCUCACCAAAGACGGCAUAGAAUUCCGUAGGACUUACCUCAAUCUUCCGUCUGAGAUUGUGCCUGCUACCUUGAAGAAGUCGGCAAGGCCACUAGGUCGUCCAAUCGGCCAUUCAGGCGAUCGUCCCCGGGGCCCGCCAAGGUUUGAAGGUGACAGAGACCAAGGUUUGGUGACCGGGAUGGAUAUCGCGGGGGCCCUCCUCGAGGACCUCCUGCUCCUGGUGAGUUUGGAGGUGACAAGGGAGGAGCUCCUGCUGAAUUUCAGCCUUCAUUUUAGGCCGAAGAAAGGGCGGCCUAUUUGCUGUUUGGUCGUGGAGAAAAUGUCGGAACGGCAGGAAGGCACCGUUAGUGGAACUCGCACUUUCCAGGAGACGCAGAAACGAGAAAAUCUCCCGUGACUGUAAUAUUAUAGAGCUACUUGCUCGUUGGUGUAUGGCCAUCGACGGAAUUUACGUCAAAAAUUAAAGGAAAUAACUCUUACCGUACCGCGAUUUGCGAUGCUAUGGCGAACAACUCCAUUCCGGGCAGAUUAUCGGCGUUCAGAAACGAAGCUCGAAGUACCAGAAUAUGUGAUUAGUCGAAAUUGGGUGAAGUUUUAGAAAAAUUGUGCCCUCUUGGAGUACAGAUAUACAUGCUUUGUUUUGAAAGGAAAUGGCAUUGGAAACAGUCGUGGCGCUUUAUCUGAAGAGACGAAGAUAGGUCGUGCGGAGGAGCAAUUCUAAUUAUAUGUUAACAUGUGUUGUCUUUAGGCUUUGACUUGAUCAAAAAAAUUGUGAAAAAUGUGUUCUUAACAAGGACUGGUUUUUGUUACCCUUUUAUUCUUUAUAAUAAGCGACAUGCAAGUUGCUACACUGUAUCAAAGUGGAAGGAACUGGAUAGU